AGGCAGCAGUGGGGAAUAUUGCACAAUGGGCGCAAGCCUGAUGCAGCCAUGCCGCGUGUAUGAAGAAGGCCUUCGGGUUGUAAAGUACUUUCAGCAGUGAGGAAGGUGGAUAUGUUAAUAGCAUAUUCAUUUGACGUUAGCUGCAGAAGAAGCACCGGCUAACUCCGUGCCAGCAGCCGCGGUAAUACGGAGGGUGCGAGCGUUAAUCGGGAAUUACUGGGCGUAAAGCGCAUGCAGGUGGUUUGUUAAGUCAGAUGUGAAAGCCCGGGGCUCAACCUCGGAAUUGCAUUUGAAACUGGCAAACUAGAGUACUGUAGAGGGGGUAGAAUUUCAGGUGUAGCGGUGAAAUGCGUAGAGAUCUGAAGGAAUACCGGUGGCGAAGGCGGCCCCCUGGACAGAUACUGACACUCAGAUGCGAAAGCGUGGGGAGCAAACAGGAUUAGAUACCCUGGUAG
rnacentral:rRNA from 1 species